GUGAGGAAUAUUGGUCAAUGGGCGGGAGCCUGAACCAGCCAAGUCGCGUGAAGGAAGAAGGAUCUAUGGUUCGUAAACUUCUUUUGCAGGGGAAUAAAGUACAGGACGUGUCCUGUUUUGUAUGUACCCUGAGAAUAAGGAUCGGCUAACUCCGUGCCAGCAGCCGCGGUAAUACGGAGGAUCCGAGCGUUAUCCGGAUUUAUUGGGUUUAAAGGGUGCGUAGGUGGUUUGAUAAGUCAGCGGUGAAAGUUUGCAGCUUAACUGUAAAAAUGCCGUUGAAACUGUCGGACUUGAGUGUAAAUGAGGUAGGCGGAAUGCGUGGUGUAGCGGUGAAAUGCAUAGAUAUCACGCAGAACUCCGAUUGCGAAGGCAGCUUACUAAGCUACAACUGACACUGAAGCACGAAAGCGUGGGGAUCAAACAGGAUUAGAUACCCCAGUAGUCC
rnacentral:rRNA from 1 species